GAGGGUAUAGCUCGAGUGGUAGAGUGCAUGCUUAGCAUACAUGAGGUCCCAGGUUCAACCCCUAGUUACCUCC
rnacentral:tRNA from 1 species